UAGCUCAGUUGGUAGAGCAUCUGACUUUUAAUCAGAGGGUCAGAGGUUCGAAUCCUCUAUGGCUCA
rnacentral:tRNA from 1 species